GGAGUUAGCCGGUGCUUCUUCUGUGAGUGAUGUCCUUCCUGCCGGCUAUUAACCCGCAGGCCUUCUUCCUCACUGAAAGUGCUUUACAACCCGAAGGCCUUCUUCACACACGCGGCAUGGCUGGAUCAGGGUUGCCCCCAUUGUCCAAUAUUCCCCACUGCUGCCUCCCGUAGUAGUCUGGGCCGUGUCUCAGUCCCAGUGUGGCUGAUCAUCCUCUCAGACCAGCUACGGAUCGUCGCCUUGGUGAGCCGUUACCUCACCAACCAGCUAAUCCGACAUAGGCUCAUCCGAUAGCGCGAGGCCCGAAGGUCCCCCGCUUUCCCCCGUAGGGCGUAUGCGGUAUUAGCCUGGGUUUCCCCAGGUUAUCCCCCACUACCGGGCAGAUUCCUAUGCAUUACUCACCCGUCCGCCGCUCGCCACCAGGGAGCAAGCUCCCCGUGCUGCCGCUCGACUUGCAUGUGUUAGGCCUGCCGCCAGCGUUCAAUCUGAGCCAGAAUCGAACCCUGA
rnacentral:rRNA from 1 species